rnacentral:lncRNA from 1 species
CAGGAGAUGGCUGCUUCAGGCUCCUUAUCACCCAUUAUUAGGAGCCUUAGCUAGAAUCACCCUCUUAGAGUCUGGCAGUUUCCAUUGCACUUCGUUUCUAGCUCAUCCUGGAGAUGUCACCCAAAUCCUGUUGUCACUCCCAGUAUUCUCUGCUCCAUCCUUCCCUCACUUUAUCCCUCUUGUUCCUGUCCCCACCUGCACCUGGCCCACCAAGAAGACCAAGCUACACAGGGGCCACAUGUUGAGUCAGAAAAAUGGAGGUGACUGGCGUACUCACACCUUCCUCCACAUCCUGGCAGUGGGCUUCUAGACCAGCCAACAGGAAGCUUCACAGGUACCAAUGGGG